CGGAGCGCAUGGAAAAAGUAUCUUGGUAUGCAAUGCUGCAACCCGGUUAAUGAGACCAGAUUGUUUUAUGUAUAGAUGCUAAUAAGCUACUGUUUUAUUAGGCCCCGAACUCUGACCACCAAGGGAAUAACGUCUGUCAAGUUAUUUGUGUUGGAAAAUCCCGAUUGGUUUUUUUGAACUACCAGAAAGGAUUCUGGAGAACCACUGACGGCGAGAACAGCCCAAACGAGAUCCUGGAUGAUCGUGAAAUGGUGUGGCCAGCCAUGCGAUCGGAUUGUGGAUCUUGCCUGAGAAACUGAUUCAAGCAACCCUGGAUUUCAGAUAAGCCCUAUGCACUACUUUUCCUACCCGGAUAAUAGGGUCUGCACACUGACAAUUCCCCUACAGUACACCUGUUUGGGUUUCAACGACUUUAAAGGACAAUUCAGACUGGACAAUUCAAACUUCACAAGAGGAACACUUUAAUCUGUUCAUUCAUUCAAAAGAGCUCUGAUACGAUUUAGUAUAAGUCUUCCAUUUAAGUGUCUUUAUUUUGUUUUAUUUUGUUCUGUUUUACAUUUAUUCGCCUUCAAAAUGCACUAUUAGUGUGCAAUUUGGUUUAUUGUGUUGUAUAUGUUUACAAAUGGUACUGAGGCAAAUAAGGUCCCAGUUAUUCACUUCCAAGCCAACUCCUUUUGUGAGUCUCCAAAACAAAACCUCCUUCUGAACCUAGAAAGAUGUCUAGGGUCUCUAUUUGAGGUGAAAGUGUACUGGUCCUGAGUAGAGGCGCUACAAAUGCUUUAGUGAGUGUUUUUCAUGGUUGGAGGCGAAAUGGGGUUUGUGACGAUAUUUGAGCGUUUAAUGCUAUAAACACACAGACUUCCCUCCCUCUGGCAUAUGGAUGGCUCCCAGGGACGCUUUGCAUGUAAAUAUUCAUAGUGUGAUGGGAUGGGCGAUUAAUUAUUAAGUAAAGCAUAGAACUGUA